ACCAAGUGCUCCUAUAAUAUUGCCACCACCCAGUUCAGCUCCACCCACAAUCAAUUCAGCCCCACCACAAAUUGCUUCUCUACCAGGUCCUCCUCCUCCAAUAGUGUGGAGUGAUCCCGCUCCAGUUCUGCCUCCGAGUGCUCCUAAGAGAGAUCAUCGACAUACUGAACAGCCUGUUGUCGUUCCAGAAGCUCCAGCACCAGUGUCGUCACCUGGAAG
rnacentral:misc_RNA from 1 species